UUCUGAAGGCAUGUCUCUUUUUUUUUCUUUAGCCUCUCCAGGUAUACAGGAUAGUUCCUUUGAUGACUGUUAACAUCAUAGAGAUAGCCACCUUCUUAGGAGCUUCCUUCUUUGGCUGGCUCUUGAACUUAUAUUUCUUCAUGGACUUCUUCUUCUUCUUCUAAGUAGACUUUCUCUUGAAAGUAGAAGUCCACUCCACAAUGAGCA
rnacentral:lncRNA from 1 species